GAUGAACGCUGGCGGCGUGCCUAAUACAUGCAAGUCGAGCGAACAGACGAGGAUCUUGCUCCUCUGACGUUAGCGGCGGACGGGUGAGUAACACGUGGAUAACCUACCUAUAAGACUGGGAUAACUUCGGGAAACCGGAGCUAAUACCGGAUAAUAUAUUGAACCGCAUGGUUCAAUAGUGAAAGACGGUUUUGCUGUCACUUAUAGAUGGAUCCGCGCCGCAUUAGCUAGUUGGUAAGGUAACGGCUUACCAAGGCGACGAUGCGUAGCCGACCUGAGAGGGUGAUCGGCCACACUGGAACUGAGACACGGUCCAGACUCCUACGGGAGGCAGCAGUAGGGAAUCUUGCGCAAUGGGCGAAAGCCUGACGGAGCAACGCCGCGUGAGUGAUGAAGGUCUUCGGAUCGUAAAACUCUGUUAUUAGGGAAGAACAAAUGUGUAAGUAACUAUGCACGUCUUGACGGUACCUAAUCAGAAAGCCACGGCUAACUACGUG
rnacentral:rRNA from 1 species